rnacentral:rRNA from 1 species
GGUUCAGAACGUCGUGAGACAGUUCGGUUUAUAUCCGGCAUGAUCGUUAGGAAUUUUGAGGAGAUCUACCCUUAGUACGAGAGGACCGGGGCGGACGAACCUCUAGUGUAUCGGUUGUGACCACCUGUUGCAUUGCCGAGUAGCUAUGUUCGGAAGAGAUAAGCGCUGAAAGCAUAUUAAGCGCGAAGCCCACUCCAAGAUUAGAAUUCCCUAUGAGCUCCCAGAGAGAAGAUCUGGUUGAUAGGUGCAAGAUGGAAGUAUCGUAAGAUAUGGAGUCGAAGCAUACUAAUAGAGCCAUCGCCUU